rfam:Oryza nivara chromosome 5, whole genome shotgun sequence.
AAAAAGACAAACCUUGGGUUUGCGUGUCCAACUUUAACUGUCCGUCUUAUAUGAAAAUUUUUUAUAAUUCGUAUUUUUAUUAUUGUUAGAUGAUAAAACAUGAUUAAUACUUUGUGCGUGACUUGUCUUUUUAAUUUUUUUCAUAAUUUUUUCAAAUAAGAUGAACGGUCAAACAUUGGGCACGGAAACCAGGGUUUGUCUUUUU